rnacentral:rRNA from 1 species
CUGUGCCUACGGGACGCAGCAGUGGGGGAUAUUGGACAAUGGGGGAAACCCUGAUCCAGCGAUGCCGCGUGAGGGAAGAAGGUUUUCGGAUGGAAAACCUCUGUGGAGGGGGAAGAUAAUGACGGUACCCCUUUAGGAAGCCACGGCUAACUACGUGCCAGCAGCCGCGGUAAUACGUAGGUGGCCAGCGUUGUCCGGAAUUACUGGGUGUAAAGGGAGUGUAGGCGGGAAA